UUGAAAUAGAAACACACAGUCAGAUAAACAUUACACAUGUAACAAAGAAAUUGAAUACAACUAACAAAACAACAAACAUUUAGUUAACAGACUAUGAAAUGUGUGAAGAGAAGUGUUCGUUAAACAGAAAUGUCUUGAGAUGGGUUUUAAAGAAAGGAAGAGAAGUACUGUCACGUAGAGGUUGUGGGAGGGAGUUCCAGAGUUUUGGUGCCUGGGCGCUGAAAGACCUACCACCAACGGUGGAAAGUCUAGUGCGGGGAAUGAGAAGGAGAUUUUGGUCAGAUGAUCUGAGCAAGCGGGGGGGAGUGUAAGAAGUUAAGAGGUUGCAAAUGUAUGGAGGAGCAAGGUUAUGGAGGGCUUUGAAGAUGAAGAUGAUGAAGACGAUGACAAUGAUAGAAGACACAAUAAUUCAAACGACGAGGGGAAUAGAGGGCUGCAGUGAUGUGCUCUCAUCCAGACAUCAGUAAGGUCAUGCAAUGGGUCAACAUUUAUCCCAGAGGUGUUCAUUGGGUCCACGCUUUCUGCAGGCCUGUCAAAUUCUUCCACACCAGAUUCAGUAAACCAUAACUUCAUGGAGCUCACUGUGUGCACAGGGGCAUUGUCAUACUGGAAAAGAAAAGACAUUUAUUUAACAAAAAGAAGUGUCUACGGAGAUCCCAGAGGAAGAUUUUGUUGCUCUUUCAUAGCUCAGGAUUCCAUAAAGAGUUUUUAGGUUCUUACAUUAUCAACAUUUUCAAUUAUCUGUGUAAUGGUUUUGUAGAAAAUAAAAUAGACAUUUGACAUGCAGUUAAAGAGCUAUACAGCUGAUGGAAAUUAUACCGAUUAAUUUGCUGAUUAAUUUGCUGAAAAAUAUAGGAUUACCGGCAUUUAGAACGGACGACGUCAGACCGCGGUGACAGAUCGGGCCAAUCAGAACGUUUUUAAACAGAUGACGCGUUUACCACCGCACUGUUUACGUUCGUUUCCACACCCAUGCUGCUUAAAAGUCGAGCACAACUGAAGUUAACAUCCACAUUUCUUCAAAGUUGUUUAAAACAGCUUACCAUAUAUUUGCCAAAUUGCCGACAUCCUUAGCACACCCUCGGUGAAGCCUAAUGUGCAAACCCAGGUUCCGUUUGACGCCGCCUAGCGCAAUGGUGUUUGGUCACGAGCAACUUCGCGACCGUUUGCCACAGAUGUGAAAACAACAAAAUACGGACCGACGAUAUUAAGUCAUAACCCGCCAUUGUGAACAAAUACGACACGGAGCUCGCGGCCGCCCGCCACAGGUAAUUUUCGCUUUCUCUCCGAGUUUACCGGUAUUUUGAUACUAAUGUGUGAAUGAUGUCUUUCUGGUAAAAAGACAGAACGUCACUGCAUGUGUGAACAGCACAUUUUUGUAUUUACUGGUAAAUUAAUUCUGGUAAAUUCAUGGUAAUUUACUAGAAUUACUGUGUGAAAGAGGCUAUUGUUUGCAAAUUCACAAUGUCACUGCUAAAUAAAGCUAAAUAUUUACACAGUGGACCAUUAAUGCUCAUGUGGGUUGUAUUUGAGAAAAGUGACAAACAACCUGUAAUGUCCUAUGGGUUGAAAAAUACUCGGAUAUAAAAGAAAUCCCUGAUUUCAUCCUUGUACAUCCUUGGUUUGAUAGAUAUUUAAAUAAUGAAAGUGAUAUAGCCAAACUCAUUGAUGCGAAUUAGUUGAUGCUAUUUAGUCAAUGAGAAAAUUCCAACAGAUUGAAACAUUAUUUUUGCAAGUGUUUUCAUUUAGCAACCAUAAGAUUAAUAACCGUAACAACUGACAGAUUGUCAAACUUUUAAUGAUGUAUUGAAACUGUCUUUGAAUUAAAUUAAAAGCAUAAGGGAAUAAUGUGUUUAUAAAUAGACUUUAUUAUGCUUUUGCUGAUAUACAUUUAUUUAGGGAAACAAAGUAAACUCACGUUAGGUGCAUGCCAUGUCAGUCAGUGAGUAAUGGAAGAAAAAUAAACUGUAUGCACAACCAGAUGUAUGUGUUUUUGUCACUUUAAAGUUUUCUUUCAUUGUUU